rnacentral:rRNA from 1 species
UACGUAGGGUGCAAGCGUUAAUCGGAAUUACUGGGCGUAAAGCGUGCGCAGGCGGCUCCUUAAGUCAGAUGUGAAAGCCCCGGGCUUAACCUGGGAACUGCGUUUGAAACUGGGGGGCUAGAGUGUGGAAGAGGGGGGUGGAAUUCCAGGUGUAGCAGUGAAAUGCGUAGAGAUCUGGAGGAACACCGAUGGCGAAGGCAGCCCCCUGGGCUAACACUGACGCUCAUGCACGAAAGCGUGGGGAGCAAACUGG